rnacentral:rRNA from 1 species
GAGUUUGAUCCUGGCUCAGAACGAACGCUGGCGGCGUGCUUAACACAUGCAAGUCGAACGUGAUCCGGAGCUUGCUCCGGUGAAAGUGGCGCACGGGUGAGUAACGCGUGGAUAAUYUGCCCUGCAUCUGGGAUAACACUUCGAAAGGGGUGCUAAUACCGGAUACACUUAUGGAUCGCAAGGUCUAUAAGGAAAGGAGACCUCUCCUUGGAAGUUUCUGUGUAGAGAUGAGCCUGCGUCCCAUUAGCUAGUUGGUAGGGUAAUGGCCUACCAAGGCGACGAUGGGUAGCGGGUCUGAGAGGAUGAUCCGCCACACUGGAACUGAGACACGGUCCAGACUCCUACGGGAGGCAGCAGUGGGGAAUUUUGYGCAAUGGGGGAGACCCUGACGCAGCAACGCCGCGUGAGUGAUGAAGGCUUUCGGGUCGUAAAGCUCUGUCGAGGGGAAAGAAGUGUAUUAGGGCUAAUAUCCCUGAUACUUGAGGGUACCCCUAAAGGAAGCACCGGCUAACUCCGUGCCAGCAGCCGCGGUAAUAC